GAGAUGAACAACUGUCAUGGAAGAGCCUGAAAGAGCUUACUCAAGGGGAAGGGCAGGGCUGGAGGGUUCCACCUGACUGCUGGUGGAAACUGCUCCACACUGCUGGAAACUGUCACCAACUGGUAUGGGAGGCACCGGGAAGAGCAGACCCUUAGCCAACCUUCAGCUAAGAGAGCCCACAGUGGAGUGAAAUUCAGCUAAGCAGUCUGCCCAUUUAGACAGACGUGGUGUCCAGGCACUGCUGCCAUCCUGAAUGCACAGCAAGUUGGGGGCUGCUCAGCAGGUCCUAGGGUAUGUGUGUCCAAGGGUGGAGUCCAGUCACACACCUGAAAGCAUCUCCACCUGUCUCCACUGUCCAAGGUGAGUGUGCCAUUUGGUAUCCUUAUCAGCAGCAUCUGAGAGGUCUGAUCUCGCCGUAUGCUUGACAAUACUUGAUCUAGUUUUUGUCUCGGGUUCUGGCCAUUGUAUUGAGUGUGAAAGGCUCCUCAGUGUGUCUGCAGCUCUCACUCCUCAUGACUCAUGAUGCUGAAUCUCUUUUUAAUUGCUGGUGCUCACUUGCACAACCCAUUUGGAGAAGUGUGGAUUCAGAUCCUCUGUCACUGUUUUGAUGGAAUUAUUUACCUUUUCUAUAUGCAACAUGCUUUUGUGACCUCAUGAUUACGGUCUUGUGUUAUCACUACUGCUAGGUAGUUUUUCUUUGGUACCACCUGUCAUAUAAACCAGGAAACUGAAACCUGUGAAGUCUCACUGGGAAGGUUGCAUAAUUAGCAGAUCCUGCUACACAAGGGAAAUAUGGAACCUUGGCCUAAAGUUCAUGAAGAAAAUGAAGAUUGCUGUGAAAGAGUGUUAAGUUCAUCUAUGAGCCAGAACAGCUCUUUCAGCCAUCAGAUCCCUUUGUCUAGCUGACUGUAAAGAUAAUAGCUGACAUUGUUCAGUGGUUAUUUUGUGCCAGUGUCUAAGGUAGGUGCCACAGAACACAUAGAAAUUUGACAAUCACCCCACUGGGUAGCUACUAUUAUUUCCAUUUUAUGGAUGAGAAACACUCUACUAGGGACCUCUCUACCCUAUGGUCUCAGCUGACACCAUAGGAUUUGACUGAUGUUUCACCUGUAGGACAGAAGGCCCAAGUUCUCAGGGUCAUGUGGCUUUGGUCCAGUUCUAGCCACUGUCAUGGCUGCCUCUCUGUUCCCCUCCCCCACCACCAUAGACUGCAAUAGUUCUGUGGGGUUUUGGCUUCUAUCUGCACUAUGUACAUUUCCAUGGUCCCCUCCUACUACAGCCUGGGUGCCCCCUGUCCCCUCAGAUGAGGUUCUUGCUUCUUGCCCUGUGUUUGACCUACACAUGGAGGGAUGGGUGUCUAGGUCUGCCUACCCUUCAUACUCAGUGUUCUGAGGUCCCAUCCCCAGCACCACCAUAAUACAGAGCUGAUCAGUGCUUUGG